rnacentral:lncRNA from 1 species
GCAAGAAAUACUCCUUUAUUUUUCGAUAACUAAUUUGUUUUGAUUACAGGGCCUCCAGGUGUUCCCACUAGACCUCUGGGUUAGGUGGGCCUGGGACCCACGGUGGAGGGGGCGGCUGUGUUUCAGCUGCCAGGCCUUGGUGUGACGCGUGGAGCCCCUCCUCCUGGAAGCUCCCAAGUUUUCUUUUAUUAUUAUUUUUUUUUAGAUUUAUUUAUUUAUUCAUGAGACACAGAGAGAGAGAGAGAGGCAGAGACACAGGCAGAGGGAGAAGCAGGCUCCCCGCGGGGUGCCCGGUGCGGGACUCGAUCCUGGAUCCCGGGAUCACGCCCUGAGCCGAAGGCAGGCGCCCAAACGCUGAGCCACCCAGGCGCCCCGGCUCCCAGGUUUUCAAACAGGCUUUCUUUUCUUUCUUUUUUUUUUUUUUGUAUAUUUUUGUAUUGAUUUUUUUUUUUUUUAUUGGAGUUUGCUUUGCCAACAUCUAGUAUCACACGGAGGGCUCCUCCCGUCCAGUGCCCCCCGCAGUGCCCGUCCCCCGUCCCCGCCGCCCUUCCCCUUGUUCAUCUCCCAGCUUAGGAGUCUCGGGGUCUCACACAGGCUUUGGGGGGCGGGGGGCAGCGGCCGGGCUGCGAGAGGCGCGGGGACCCGGAGCUCCGCGGCCGGGGAGCAGCGCACGCGCACGCGCAGGCUGCGAGCGGCUCCCGCCGGCUCCUCCCGCGGCGGUCGGUCCGGGGACGUUCUCCCCGCCGCGGGGGCGACUGUGACCCCCGGCGGAGGCCCGGGCGGGCCGGGUCCCGAUCGGUGCUGGCGGACGUCACCCUGCCAGGUUCGGUGGUUCUGCAGACUGUUUACAUAUGAAAGCAUUUCCAGGUACUCUGAAAGCUUUCAGAAACCAUAA